GAAUCAGCAAGGCCAUAUGCUCCACCUCCUCUACGUAAAACCCCAAAUGAAAACGCUUACUGUUAGCUUUUUGAGGAGUGUGGGAUUUCAGCAUUAGCUGCCCUUUCUCCUUUCUCAGUGGUGUGCAAUAAUAAAACUCCUAUUUUCUUCCACUACACCUGGUGUCAGAGAUUGGAUUGCUGUGCAACAGCUCAAAAAAAAAGAAACCCUACUUUAGGUCUUUAGUGGACAUAUACCAGAAAACAAGAUCACCAUCGUGUUAUCCAUGACCUCCUGAGUGUAUUUCUUGGUCUCAACGUGUCCUCCUCCCCAUCUCAUUCUACUCGUGUGGGAGUCUUGGACAUGGGACCCAUUUUAAUGUAUGUGAAGGGAAUCAACGUCUUUACAAUAGCAAGCCGUCCCAUCUGUGAACAUAAUGCAUCUCCCAUUACCAAGCAGUGUGAUCUUGCACGAGUUCCUUUCCUUUUCCAAGCCUCAGUUCUACUACGUGAAAAUGGAGGUAAUCGUACCUAUGUUGAAGACAGUUUGUGGAGAUGAAAUGAGAAGUAUAAAAGAGCAUCUAGUGGAGUGUCAGACACAAGGGAGGCCUUAAUAAAAGAUUCUUUUGCACGACUGCUACAUCAAGCUAUUUCCAUGGCACAAAACUCAUCUCUCUAUAUAGUUGGAAACCGAGUGAUCUAGCCAGUGACUCUGUGUCAAUGUAACUUUGCUGAAAACGAUUUCAACUUACAGUAUAUUAUAAGCGUAGUUCUACCCUUUCUUCAGAAUCCAAGCUCAACAUUCCAUAAAUGACUGGGGAGCCUACUGGAAGAAUUGCAUCUUACCAAUUCCAAGGACAGAGCGAUCUUUAAAAGAAUGCUAAAGAAAGAGAUUUAGAACAUUUCUCAACAUCUUAUGG
rnacentral:lncRNA from 1 species